GAUCCUCAUUAGAGGGCUUUCUCUUCACCCCACUAUCAGGAGUACACAUAAAAGGAGGGUCUUAAUGGCAGCUCCCAGGCCGUGGAAUUCUCUUCCACGGGAUAUUUAGCUCGUCUUUCUGCUCUCCUUCCACUAGUAGCCGAUGCAAAUAUGGAGAUAAAAAACCUUUCAUCUAUACAGCAGCUUGGCAUUAAAACGACCAUCAGUUAUGGUAAACAUUUGAACCCCUAGGAGAAAAGGCUGAAAAUGAUCUUUCCCAAGUACUAAUGAAUUGUGAGAAAUAUUUGAAACAACAACAACAUGUGUUCAUAGAGACAUCAUUACGU